AGAGUUUGAUCCUGGCUCAGGAUGAACGCUAGCUACAGGCUUAACACAUGCAAGUCGAGGGGAAACGACAUCGAAAGCUUGCUUUUGAUGGGCGUCGACCGGCGCACGGGUGAGUAACGCGUAUCCAACCUGCCCACCACUUGGGGAUAACCUUGCGAAAGUAAGACUAAUACCCAAUGACGUCUCUAGAAGACAUCUGAAAGAGAUUAAAGAUUUAUCGGUGAUGGAUGGGGAUGCGUCUGAUUAGCUUGUUGGCGGGGUAACGGCCCACCAAGGCUACGAUCAGUAGGGGUUCUGAGAGGAAGGUCCCCCACAUUGGAACUGAGACACGGUCCAAACUCCUACGGGAGGCAGCAGUGAGGAAUAUUGGUCAAUGGGCGAGAGCCUGAACCAGCCAAGUAGCGUGCAGGAUGACGGCCCUAUGGGUUGUAAACUGCUUUUAUAAGGGAAUAAAGUGAGUCUCGUGAGACUUUUUGCAUGUACCUUAUGAAUAAGGACCGGCUAAUUCCGUGCCAGCAGCCGCGGUAAUACGGAAGGUCCGGGCGUUAUCCGGAUUUAUUGGGUUUAAAGGGAGCGUAGGCCGGAGAUUAAGCGUGUUGUGAAAUGUAGAUGCUCAACAUCUGCACUGCAGCGCGAACUGGUUUCCUUGAGUACGCACAAAGUGGGCGGAAUUCGUGGUGUAGCGGUGAAAUGCUUAGAUAUCACGAAGAACUCCGAUUGCGAAGGCAGCUCACUGGAGCGCAACUGACGCUGAAGCUCGAAAGUGCGGGUAUCGAACAGGAUUAGAUACCCUGGUAGUCCGCACGGUAAACGAUGGAUGCCCGCUGUUGGUCUGAAUAGGUCAGCGGCCAAGCGAAAGCAUUAAGCAUCCCACCUGGGGAGUACGCCGGCAACGGUGAAACUCAAAGGAAUUGACGG
rnacentral:rRNA from 1 species